UCCGCCAGAAUACACAUACAUGUAUCAGCAUUGAGACGUUCUCUUUUGGUGUACGUUUCUGCCUGUUGUAUUGCCAAGAUGCCGAUAAGGAAAACUUUAGCGAAGUUUCAAAUCUCAGUGACGGCUAUUUUGCUGGCCUUGGUAAUUGGAUGUUCCAGUGCGGAUAUAGACUGGGGUUAUGAUGGCGACGACUACAAUGAAGUUGAAGGAAGGUCUUGCACUUCGAGCACUGACUGCGAGCCAUUCACGCAUUAUUGUUGCGUGAUACAAGGUUAUCAGUAUAAAUAUGGGGCCUGCAACGCUCGAGGAGUGCUUGGGCAGAGAUGCAGUAAUGCGCUUGCAAGAAAUAAUGAAAAUAAUAACUACUACGCCCCAUAUCUUUACCAGUGCCCCUGUGUGCAACCAGAUUAUGUUUGUCACCGGACUCAUGGACUCAAUCGAUAUGGUACUUGCCAAGAUUACUAUAAAAUCAAGCGCGGCUGAGACCUGAUGAAGAACUCGUGAAACUGAAACACACGACGUGAAACCUUCUAACGAAAAAUAAUGCUCACAUAUAAUGCAGUUUAGAUUUCGGAUGAGCAAAUAAAUG
rnacentral:lncRNA from 1 species